AUCCUGGCUCAGGACGAACGCUGGCGGCGUGCUUAACACAUGCAAGUCGAACGCUGAAGCCUAGCUUUUGUUGGGUGGAUGAGUGGCGAACGGGUGAGUAACACGUGAGUAACCUGCCCCCUUCUUUGGGAUAACGCCCGGAAACGGGUGCUAAUACUGGAUAUUCACUGAUCUUCGCAUGGGGGUUGGUGGAAAGGUUUUUUCUGGUGGGGGAUGGGCUCGCGGCCUAUCAGCUUGUUGGUGGGGUGAUGGCCUACCAAGGCUUUGACGGGUAGCCGGCCUGAGAGGGUGACCGGUCACAUUGGGACUGAGAUACGGCCCAGACUCCUACGGGAGGCAGCAGUGGGGAAUAUUGCACAAUGGGCGAAAGCCUGAUGCAGCGACGCCGCGUGAGGGAUGGAGGCCUUCGGGUUGUAAACCUCUUUCGCUCAUGGUCAAGCCGCAACAUUGGUUGUGGUGAGGGUAGUGGGUAAAGAAGCGCCGGCUAACUACGUGCCAGCAGCCGC
rnacentral:rRNA from 1 species